CUACGUGCCAGCAGCCGCGGUAAUACGGAAGGUCCGGGCGUUAUCCGGAUUUAUUGGGUUUAAAGGGAGCGUAGGCCGGAGAUUAAGUGUAUUGUGAAAUGUAGACGCUCAACGUCUGACUUGCAGCGCAUACUGGUUUCCUUGAGUACGCACAACGUUGGCGGAAUUCGUCGUGUAGCGGUGAAAUGCUUAGAUAUGACGAAGAACUCCGAUUGCGAAGGCAGCUGACGGGAGCGCAACUGACGCUUAAGCUCGAAGGUGCGGGUAUCGAACAGGAUUAGAUACCCUGGUAGUCCGCACAGUAAACGAUGGAUGCCCGCUGUUGGUACCUGGUAUCAGCGGCUAAGCGAAAGCAUUAAGCAUCCCACCUGGGGAGUACGCCGGCAACGGUGAAACUCAAAGGAAUUGACGGGGGCCCGCACAAGCGGAGGAACAUGUGGUUUAAUUCGAUGAUACGCGAGGAACCUUACCCGGGCU
rnacentral:rRNA from 1 species